UAUUUUAUUAUCUUUUAAUAAUAAUGUUAUCGUCUUCGCAUAUAUAUGUCUUUGAAAUCUAAACAUUGGUUUAAUAACUGAAAAUUUGCUUAUAUCGUCAAAUAUAUUAUUAACAUAUUAAGUUGGUUUGUACACCAUGUCAUUUCAUCCAUACAUCAAACCCCAUCCAUAUUUCGCUAACAAUAUUAUCUCGAUAAUGCGUUAUCUGCUAAUUAUCAGAGUUUUACCAUAUCACUUUGUAGGGGUAUAUUUGUCAUAUAGAUUUUAAUUGAAAAGAGAUACCUAAAUAAAUGGUAUUCAUGUACAGAUUCUUAAUUAUUUGAUGGUCCAUGUAUAGAUUUUUAAAUCACCCUUUAUAUUAUUGCUUUGUCUUUUUUUUUUUUUGUGAACAUUAUUGCUUUGUCUCUAUAUCUUUCAUAUUUUCACAAAUGCAGUAUGCCAUAUCAUUUUGUAGUUACAAGAGUGUAGAGUUACUAUGACUAUGAAAAACAAUUAAGUAAA
rnacentral:sRNA from 1 species